rnacentral:rRNA from 1 species
GAGUUGCGAACGGGUGAGUAACGCGUAGGUAACCUGCCUUGUAGCGGGGGAUAACUAUUGGAAACGAUAGCUAAUACCGCAUGACAGUAAAUAUCGCAUGAUAGCUACUUGAAAGGUGCAAAUGCACCACUACCAGAUGGACCUGCGUUGUAUUAGCUAGUUGGUGAGGUAACGGCUCACCAAGGCGACGAUACAUAGCCGACCUGAGAGGGUGAUCGGCCACACUGGGACUGAGACACGGCCCAGACUCC